AACAUUUUCAAGGUUCAGUCACAUUGUGGAAUUCAUCAGUUUGAUAGUUAACUGUUGUGUCAACUUGAGUUGCCCAACUGAUCCGCUUAACAUAGUUCUGAGUGUGACUGAAUGGAUUUACUGAAGAUGAAAGACCCACCAUAGGUGUGAGUAGCACCAACCAAUAGGCUUAUACCUGAGUGGAAUAAAAAAGGGAAAGAAGGACAGCUCACUUCUGUUUCAUUGGGGAAGCUCCAGUUUUUGCCUUUGGACAUCAUCUCCUGGUUUCCAGUACAGACUCUUCAGCCUUGCAGUGCAGACUCUGGCUUCCUGAUAUGGACUGGCAUGGGACUCUACAGUGAGCACCAGGCCUUCAACCUUUGACAGUCCUUUUGUACUCUUCCACACUUGACUCCACGGGCAGCCGUUAUGGGGAGUCUGGCAUGGCUCAGCUGAAUCUUUUGCUGAGCACAAGGCUGAAACCAGUCUUUGCUGGUCUGAGUUUCUGACUUCAGGAAACAUCUGGGGCCCUCUUCUGAAAAGCUUUCCUCAUAAAUACAGGGUUACCCUUACAACUAACUAAGCCAAUGUUUUAAAGACUUAAUUAAUCUGCAAAACCUCUUCGCCUUGCCCUACUCUCAAACUCAAUAUUCUAUUACCUUUGCCAUAUUCUAGUGUUUAGAAGCAAGCCACAGGUCCUACCAAAACUCAAGGGGAAGGAAUUACACAAGAGCACAGUGCAUCAUCUGUGACUUCUGCCUACCACAAUGCUUGAUUUCAGUGGAGGAAGAACUUGGAAUGGGCAAGAUAACCUGAAAAGCCAAAGCUCUUUGAUAUUUUGUGAAUUUUGUGCAUCCCCAUCUCCCUGUCCUUUGAGUCAGAGACCACAUUCUUGAGUGAGAACAGGGUCCAGGCAGAUGAUGAAAGGCCUGAAAAGAGCCUGCUAAUUCUUUUUUUUUUGGUACCGGGGAUCAAACUCGGGUCCUUGCACUUGCACAGCAGGCGGUGGAACCACUGAGCUAAAUCCCCAGCCAAGAGCCUGCUGAUUCUUAGAUCCUCAGCCCUGGAUAAUUUUCAGAUGACUAAAUGAAAAUAAAAAAAUUCACAAUGGAUCAAGAUUCAUGUUCAUGAAGAGAGCACCUAUGUGGGCCUAGUUUAUCCAAUCAGCCACAGAAGUGUCCUCAUCCUCACUCCUCGGCAUUGUCAGUCAGAUGGAGACAUUGUGUAGUGGAGAAGGAAAGACCAGACUAUGAUUGCCUUUCUGAGACCUGGUAGGACUAUGCAAGUGCCUGUGGAGGUGAAGUCUGUCUUGUACCAGCAGUAGUCCCCUUGUUUUAACCUAUCAGAGAGCCCAAUAAUCACAGGAUUCUUCAGAGAUUCUUCAGGAUUCUUCAUGUCCUUGAUGCCAUGCACAGACCUGCCUGUGACCAUAAACUCAAUAAGAGCUGAGACUGUGCCUUAUUUAUCUAGCACCUACACUGCCUUACGCAAGUCAACACUUAAUAAAUGUUUUUGAAAUGAAAUUGGUCAUCAUAAUAAUAGUGAACAUUUAUUUUAUUUUAUUUUAUUUUUUUGGUACUGGGGAUCGAACUAGGGACCUUACGCUUGCGAGGCAGGUGCCAGAACCACUGAGCUAAAUCUCCAGCCCCUUGAACAUUUAUUAAUUGCUCUCUGUAUGCCUGUCAUAUAGAACACACCCCAUGCCUUUAGCUGUCCCCAUGACCAUCUCAUUUGACAGAUGGGGAAACUGAGGCCUGAGGAGGUGAAACUGAUUUUCUUAGUGAUACAAACAGCAAGUGAUAGAGUUUUGAAGAGAAGAACAACUUCUGCCUUCACAUCCUGGGCCUUGUCUUUUAUACAGGUUGUUGGUAGCAAGCCCCUUACCAGAGCCUCUUUCUUUUCCUUCCUUUCAGCCUCCCCAAGGUUCCCAGUGGUGCUACUUUCCCCCCUGCUCCUUUCCCUGUCCUUUUUCUGAAGGGAGGAAAAAGUUUGCAGAACUUUUAUGUUGGAGCAGGGCCACCUGGGUCAUCAGAAAGAAGGGAAUGGAAUUAAUAGGAGAAAAUGAAGACAUGG
ensembl:lncRNA